UUUUUCACCACUAUCGUUUCCUCUUCCCCCUACUGUUAUUGUUGUCUUUUCAACAAUGGUGGCCAUAAAUCUAAACCCUCCAUUAUCCUCAAAGAACCCCAGAUAGGUUCUGCCUCCACAUUAGGUCUCUUUCCCUCUUCUCCUUCCCUAUCCUUUCACUCUCCUUCGAUUGUCGGCAAGACUAAAAUAUUCAGAUCCGGAAAGAUUAGAAACCUUUUGGGUUAAUAUGGAAAGAUUAGAAACAUUUUGCUGGCGAGGGAUCAAGGGUUCUUCCUAAUCGGGGAUUCAUGUUUUGUUUUUGGAUUUGUUUAGUUCAGUUUUUGAUUAGGCUUCUUUUACCGUUUUGGCUUCCGAUGAUUUUUAUUUUUGAUCUGAUCGGAUUUGUAAUGUUCUUGGUUGCAUGUGGAAGGAGAUGGGUUGGGUUUAGAGAGAGAAAAUGGAUCUCAAUUUUUUGGGUAAUAAAAAUUUGUCCAAGGUGUCAGCUUGGUCAGCAAAAAAUGUACACCUGUCAGUCACGUUAGUCUAGGUGGCAUGUCUGUUAACGGGACGGGAG
rnacentral:lncRNA from 1 species